rnacentral:rRNA from 1 species
UACGUAGGUGGCAAGCGUUACUCGGAAUCACUAGGCGUAAAGCGCAGGUAGGAGGUUUGGUAAGUCUGUUGUGAAAGCUCCCGGCUUAACUGGGAGAGGUCAACGGAAACUACUAGGCUAGAGUGCGGUAGAGGUAGCUGGAAUUCUCGGUGUAGCGGUGAAAUGCGUAGAUAUCGAGAGGAACACCUGCGGCGAAGGCGGGUUGCUGGGCUGACACUGACGCUGAUGCGCGAAAGCCAGGGGAGCGAACGGG